rnacentral:lncRNA from 1 species
UCAACAUACAAUAAGUAACCAAGAAAAGGUGGACAAAACUCAUAAAAAAUUUAAAGGAGCACCUAAAUCUAAAAAAAUUAAUGAACUUUAACUUUCCAUUUCAACUGAAUAAGAUGUCAAAUCCUUUAAAUCAAUCUUCGAUAAGAUGGAUUUAACUUCUCGUCACAUUUUAACACACCCAAUCUUCGAAUCACUUGAGAGUCAAUAUGAAGCUUCACAAACCGAAAUUACAGACACCUAGUACAAUAAAACCUUCAAGCCAGUCUCCACUACUCCCUCUAAUAAUUUCACUACAACCAACUCAAUUUUCAUCCUUACAUGACCUAUCUGUAUUUAAACACACCCAAUCUUCCAAGACAAACUCCACUUAAUACUAGUAAUGAUCACUCAUUGCCAUUAUGUACGUUUU